rnacentral:rRNA from 1 species
GAUGAACGCAGGCGGCGUGCUUAACACAUGCAAGUCGAACGGAGCACCCCUGACGGAGUUUUCGGACAACUGAAGGGAAUGCUUAGUGGCGGACGGGUGAGUAACGCGUGAGUAACCUGCCUUGGAGUGGGGAAUAACAGCUGGAAACAGCUGCUAAUACCGCAUGAUGCAGUUGGGCCGCAUGGCUCUGACUGCCAAAGAUUUAUCGCUCUGAGAUGGACUCGCGUCUGAUUAGCUGGUUGGCGGGGUAACGGCCCACCAAGGCGACGAUCAGUAGCCGGACUGAGAGGUUGGCCGGCCACAUUGGGACUGAGACACGGCCCAGACUCCUACGGGAGGCAGCAGUGGGGAAUAUUGGGCAAUGGGCGCAAGCCUGACCCAGCAACGCCGCGUGAAGGAAGAAGGCUUUCGGGUUGUAAACUUCUUUUCUCAGGGACGAAUAGAUGACGGUACCUGAGGAAUAAGCCACGGCUAACUACGUGCCAGCAGCCGCGGUAAUACGUAGGUGGCAAGCGUUAUC